rnacentral:rRNA from 1 species
CUGCCCUUAGUUGCCACUCUUCGGAGGGCACUCUAAGGGGACCGCCGGCGAUAAGCGAGGAAGGUGGGGAUGACGUCAGGUCAGUAUGCCCUUUAUGCCCGGGGCUACACAGGCGCUACAGUGGCCAGGACAAUGGGAAGCGACCCAGUAAUGGGGAGCAAAUCCCUAAACCUGGUCAUGGUGCAGAUUGAGGGCUGAAACUCGCCCUCAUGAAGCCGGAAUCGGUAGUAAUGGCGGAUCAGCUAAUCCGCCGUGAAUACGUUCUCGGGCCUU